GCAGCCGAAAGGUCAGGUUACCGCCUUCUCCAGCAAAUGUUCUUUGCUAUCUGACAGGGGCCGCCUCACCCAGGAAGUUACACAUCCCCACAGUGGGACAGCCAGUGGUCAGCGACUGACCGACAAAGGAUACAAAAGAUCAGCUGCCAUGGCAAUUGUUCCAGGCUGAUGAUACUGUUCUGCAUCUUGACAGAAGGGACAUUUGGAGACAGAAAAGCAGGAGUGGAAGAGAAAGCCGAGCGCAGCGGAGGGAUGCUACAUAAAGACGACGGUGACCGUGGACAGAGGUUUCCCUCCUGUGCCAGGCAUAUCUGUCACCCGGAGCUUCUCACCUAGUUUUGCAAUAACCACAUGGGGUGUGGUGUC
rnacentral:lncRNA from 1 species